UUGCGCUAUUAGUGGUAGGGCUGAUUAUUUGUAUACUUGUAGUGCUGUAUGUUUGGUUCAGUACAUCUAAAACGGCUAAUAGCUACGGCGAUUUUCCUACAUAUGGUGCAUCAAAUCCUCUUUUAGUUUUUUGGCAGUAUUAUCAACAAGUACGAAACUUCAAACGAUUUCCAUUACCCGCGCUUUUCUUAAAGUUAGUUACGGCCAACGCUUACCUGUUCCAGUCCGAAGGGAUAUUCAAAUUCUUUAUUGGAUUUACUCCUUAUGUUUGCAUUUACAAAACAGACUAUGUCAAGACAAUCCUUAGCAGCAGAAUUGCCGAUGAUAAAUCUGAUGAUUAUGCUCUCUUUGAAUCUGUUU